AGCCGGUGGAUCGCUACCCUGCACGUGUGUUCCCGGUGGGCGCUUUAACUCCGGAGCGGCGCUUCCUAUUGGCCGGUGGGGAGAUUGGCGUGCCGGGAACCAACCAGAGCCCUCCGUUCUCCCCGUGUAGCCAAUGGGAGGCAGGGGGCGGGCCGCGGCGCCAAGCGUGGGGCUCGUUGAAUGUGAAGGACCGGGAGAACAAUUCUAUUUCAGAAUGCCGAAAAUGAAUGCAGAAAAAAAAGAAAAGAAGGCAGAAAAAAGAAAAAAGCUGAAGCAACAUGUGGCCCCAAAGGAAGAGCUGGAACCAGAAACUGAACCAGUGAAGAAGAAGAAGAAGAAGCAGCAGCAAAAUCUGCAGGUUUGACUGUUUAAUUCAGUAAAAUAUGGAUAUAUUUUUUUGUGUAUUCAGUACUGAACCUGAGUGAAAGAUCAGAAGAGCAC